ensembl:lncRNA
UAGCAGCUGGUAAUACAACAUCACUUUUUGUGAUGGGCUUUCAUUUUCUUGUUAUGCUGUUUUUCAUUUUUUUUCUCUACUUUGUCCCGUGGUGUGUGGAUGCUUAGUUCUAACACAAAGGAACUGGUAGUGAAGUUUUUGAUGUUUUGCUCUGACUAAUUAAAACUGAUUUAGAUUUCCUCCAUGGCAUACGUGAUUUUAAGCUCUACUGACAAUAAUCACAUUAUACUAUAUUUAGUGUGUUGGUCAUUUCAAAGUUUCACUAACUUUGAAAUUAGCUGCUUCAAACACUACAAAUGUUUAUUGAUUCUGGUUACCAGCAGAUUCAUGCAUUUGUCAAUCAACACAUGCUCACAUCUACAGAGUUCCUUUUAUGGAGGGAAGGCAUGGUAGUCAUUGAUAAAAAAAAAAAAAAAGAGUUCUAUGAACUACAGACCCAAGUUGUUAUAGGGCAGACAGUUAUAAGAGCUGAAAAAUUCCUGUAGCAUCUAUUCGUAUAUUUAUCACAUUCAAGUGUCUCACUGGCCAUAAUUUAGGGAGGAAAAUUCAGAGGACUCAGAUGCUACGUGCAAUCAAAGUACAUCAAAUAAAUUAAGACAAAGACAAAUUUAAAUUUCAUUUAAAAAUUUUCAUCCAUCCGUUUUUCUUAAUCCCAGUCAAGGUUACAGAGGGCUGAAGUUUAUACCAGCAGUCAAAGCGUAUAAAAUAAGCCAACCCAAAAAGGGUCACCAGGCUAUCACAGGGCUAACACAGAGAGACAGAUGAUCAUUCAUACCAAUGGUCGAUUUAAAAUCACUAGAAUAAAUUAACUUAGCAAUACUUUUCCUGCAGGCCAGAGAAAAAAUCAAACAAAUUACAGGAAAAAUGCAUCAUCAUCUUUGAAAGUGAGGGAGGAAGAUAGUACCUGGAAAAAAGCCACUCAGUCUCAGGGAGGGCAUGCAAACAAACCAGAAAUGGUGAGAGCCAGUUAGUGAAUUCAAACUCAGGACUUUUUAGCUGAUAACAAUUCUAACCACUGCACAACUGUGGUGCUAAGGUGCAGUCACGUACAUUUAGAGACCGGAUGGUGACCAUUUGACAACCGCAAGUCACGAGGGAGAAAACUCAUUUCCAGUCAGCUGAUGAGAGGAUGUUACCAGUUGCUGUUAAAUUGAUUGUUAAAGCUCCAUUCACACAGGCCUAGAGACCAGUCAGCUUCCCCCUGGCAACUGCUGGUCACUAGCAAAAAGUAUUCCCCAACAGGUUGCUGAGUGGUUGCGUGAAAUUGGUCAUAAAGAGGUAUAACAUGCUGUACUAAAAAAUCUCCUUGCACUCACUUGACUCAUUAGCAGGUUGACGUGGUUGCCAGUAGACUACAUGGAAUACGUCGAGUUUCCUAACAUGAAAACCUUGUGCCUUUUAAAAUGUGUUGGCUGCAUUGGUAAAGGACAACUCUGUGUUUCAUGCAAGCUGCAGGUGAUUGCUGCAAUCUGCUAGCAAUCAAAGCAAGCACGAGGAGGAACUAACAGAGGUGGGACCAAGUCAUUGUUUUGCAAGUCUCAAGUAAGUCUCAAGUCUUUAUCCUCAAGUCUCAAGUCAAGUCUCAAGUAAUGUCAGGCAAGUCAGAGUCGAGUCUCAAGUCACUGGUGUAAAAGUCCGAGUCAAGUCACAAGUCUGAAACUUUGAAUUUCAAGUCCUUUCGAGUCUUUAAAAAAAAAAAAAGAAAAAAUAAUGUUGCAGUUAUGCUAAAUGUAAAUAUUAGACCAUGUAAUUUUAAAAUCUGUGUUUUUCUCAACACAUGACAAAAUAGUGAACUUAGAAAAUAUACACAAAUUGUGAAACUGCACCUCUUUAAAAUGCAGCUCAAUUAAACCUAGCUCCAAGAAUAAUUUUCACCGACAGUUCUGAGAUAAGCUGCAUGUUAUUCUUGGAUGCGGUUGUAGGACCAGCUUUAAAAUCGCAUGACAAAAAUAUCAUACACAUUAAAAAAAACUGUAUCACCAACAUAGCCUGGACAACAUUUGCUAGUUAGAUGAAGU